CUGACUACAAUUUGGUGUUCAAAGGUCAAGGUCAUGGUGACCUAAUACAACAUGUUUUGGCCAUAACUCAAAAACCCUAAACUUAUGGAAACUGUACAUACAACCGUGUGGUCGUAUAUCUAGUAAAAUUAUAUAUAUUUUAGCUCAUAGUGCCUUUUUUCUUUAACUUUAUGGUAUCUGCCCAAAUUACACUCAUUUUACGUCAGGUUUUUAUUUGGGGAUCAAUCAACUCCUUUGGCUGCGAGAGGAGCACGACAUCAUGUACAUUUAUAAUAUCAGUAAAAACCUGAAUAAAGAACUGAAUUUUUAAAUUUUUUUUUUAGCUAAAACAAUAUUAGAUAUUAGGUUACAAUUUUAAGUUGUUUUUAUACUUGUAUCACUCAUGUAUCCGUUCAAGUGCAGACAAUUUGUCAAGUAACCUUUGUUUAAUACUUUUAUAAGCAAUUUUACAUAUUAUAUAGCUUAUUUUACUUGUCCGUUAUUGUAUACAUUGCGUACGUUGGGUCAUAAAAUGUCAAAAUAUGAAAGCGUCUGUAAAGCCAACUUUAUUGCGCUGAGGCAGGAACAGUGCAUUUCUCUUCCCACAUCUCAUUUUGUGCGUAUAAUCUGAAAAAAACAUGGACUGAACAGAAAUGAGAAAUUGACAAAUACUGUAAGAAGCAAACACAAACCCGUGAGCCCUCAGAAACACGUCCUGACUGAGCGCUGUGACAACGGUUCGAACCCACAACUCAGAUUUUAAAGACAUCAACUCCACCUGUAACGCCCACUUCAGCAGUACAAAAAUAAAUGCUGGUAUUGAUAGCUGCAUGCAACAACUGUGUGUGUGUGUGUGUGUGUGUGUACCAAAUAUAUGCUUUGAGUGAAUGUUCCAAGCUUAUAUGAUAACAACCAAUUUUUAUGAGGCAGCUAUAUUGAAUCUUAUCAUACAAGUGUGUGGAAUUAAGUUUUGACCAAGAAAAAAAAAAACAAAAUAAAUGUACAUUUUUAUACUUUCUAAA